rnacentral:rRNA from 1 species
AUGGAGGAAGGGAACCCUGGUCCUUCAUCGGUGGCGGCGAGGGUCGCCGCGAGACAGCGCAUCCCUCCCUAUCCCGCGCCAGUGGUGGCAGAGCCAGCCACAAGGGGAAGAGGGAGGGGGCGUGGUCGUGGGCGAGGCCGAGGGCGAGGUCGAGGCGCUCGAGGAAGAGGCGGACGGGGCGGCGCAGCAUCUCCGCCUCCGCCGGCAGCUCCUCCCCUCGCGGCGGUCCAUACAGGGGACGACCCUUGGGAGUUCUUCGUCAAGCUGCGCCGGGCACCUCGCCGUCGCCUCUGGCUUCCGGCUCCGUUUGCGAGCGCGAUGGAGCCGGACCCGCCCGAGACGCUGAGGUUGCGCAUGAGGGGCUGUGGGAUCAGCGGCACGCGAGUCAGCGUUGUAUCCCCAGCCCCUAGCGUGAUGUAUCUUGAUCGAGGGUGGAAGACGUUCGCCCGCAUCCACAGCUUGACGGCGGGGUUUACCCUCCAUUUUAAGUUAAUGGAGGGCGACCUCCUCUCCGUCAAGGUCUUCGGGGACUCCGGCACCCGGGCGAGAUGCUGCGUGGACAGCUCCUCCGAUAGCGAAGACCCCCCCUCGAGCGAGAGUGACGAGGAGGAGAGCGACAACGACGACGAGGGCGGCGGGCCCGACUAG